rnacentral:rRNA from 1 species
UACGAAGGGGGCUAGCGUUGUUCGGAAUUACUGGGCGUAAAGCGCACGUAGGCGGAUCGAUCAGUCAGGGGUGAAAUCCCAGGGCUCAACCCUGGAACUGCCUUUGAUACUGUCGAUCUGGAGUAUGGAAGAGGUGAGUGGAAUUCCGAGUGUAGAGGUGAAAUUCGUAGAUAUUCGGAGGAACACCGGUGGCGAAGGCGGAUCUCUGGGCCUUACCUGACGCUCAGGUGCGAAAGCUAGGGGAGCGAACAGG